UACGGAGGGGGCUAGCGUUGUUCGGAAUUAUUGGGCGUAAAGGGCUCGUAGGCGGCCAACUAAGUCAGACGUGAAAUCCCCAGGCUUAACCUGGGAACUGCGUCUGAUACUGGAUGGCUUGAAUUCGGGAGAGGGAUGCAGAAUUCCAGGUGUAGCGGUGAAAUGCGUAGAUAUCUGGAGGAAUACCGGUGGCGAAGGCGGCAUCCUGGACCGAGAUUGACGCUGAUGAGCGAAAGCUAGGGGAGCAAACGGG
rnacentral:rRNA from 1 species